rnacentral:rRNA from 1 species
UACGUAGGUGGCAAGCGUUGUCCGGAGUUAUUGGGCGUAAAGCGCGCGCAGGCGGUGCGGUAAGUCUCUGGUGAAAGCGCUCGGCUUAACUGGGCGAGGGCCGGGGAGACUGCCACGCUGGAGGGGAGCAGAGGCGAGUGGAAUUCCGGGUGUAGUGGUGAAAUGCGUAGAGAUCGGGAGGAACACCAGAGGCGAAGGCGGGCGACCUGGACGGGCACUGACACUCAACUACGAAAGGCGUGGGGAGCAAACGAGG